CGUGCUGCAGGCACAAAUUGUAAUUCAUAAAGGUUAAGGGGGUCAAUGCCUUUUAUUACCAGUCUGAGUGCAUCCAGCUUGAUGGGGCGGGCAUGCAAAUGGAAUGUCUCGGAGUGUUCUAUGCAAGAACUCAGACAGCGAGUGCGUGCGUGCCUCUGAAUGGGAGGAAGUAAAAGGUGGUGGGGGGUGUGUGAGAUCGGCUGCUCUCUCCACCUUCCACAGCCGUGUAGGACCACACAGCCGCUGCCCGGUUAAUUAGACAGUAUGACAUUGACCUCAGUUACCAUGACCCCGGCAACAAUGGCCAUGAUCACAUUAGACCCUAUUGCACCCUCUGCUGGUCCUUUACGGAAAUGUUCUUGUUGCUACAAGUAAUGUUCAUGCUAGUCUCAGGCCGGACUGGGCUUAUAAUGAAGCAAAAACAGGUUUGUAAGUUUAUGAUACAAUAAUUACUGGACAUGAAACAUAGUUUUACCAGAUUAUGUGAUGAUUUUUUUCUGGGCUUAUGAUACAGAAGUUUGGUUUGAGCCUUGCAGAGGUUAUCGCUAACACGAUGAUCAAUCAUGGGAAAUAGGCUGUUGAAAAAGCACCCAACUUGGCACAAAACUCCUACAUCAAUGUGAACAAGCUCAAAAUUAACACAUGAAAGAAACUGCUCACAGAAAACAAUAGAACACAACAGAUCAGAAAAAAAUAGGAGAAAAUAGAAUCGGGUAGAUAUGAUAUGAUAGAACAGAAUAUGAUAGAAUAGAAUAUAUCAGAAUACAAUAAGAUAAACAGAAUAGAAUAGAACAGAACGGAAUGCGAAUGAAUAGAAUGCACCAGAAUAUAAUAUGAUUGGAUAGAUCAGAAUAAAAUAAAACAACAGAAUAUGGUAGAAUAGAAGAGAUUAUGAUACAAUAGAAUACAUUAGAAUAGAACAGAAUAUGAUAAUAGAACACAUUAGAAUAGAACAGAAUAUUAUACAAUAGAAUACAUUAGAAUGUAAUAGAUUAUGAUAGAAUAUAAUACAUUAGAAUAGAAUAGAACAGAACAUGAUAGAACAGAAUAAAACAGAACAGAAUAUGAUAGAAUACACCAGACUACAAUAUGAACACACCAGAAUAGAAUAUGAAUACACCACAAUAGAAUACACCACAAUAGAAUAUGAGCACACCACAAUAUCAUAUGAAUACACAAGAAUAGAAUAUGAAUGAACCAGCAUAGAAUAUGAAAACACCAGAAUAGAAUACAACAGAAUAGAAUAUGAAUACACCAGAAAAGAAUAUGAAUACACCAGAACAGAAUAUGAAUACACCAGAAUAGAAUAUAAAAACACUAGAACAGAAUAUGAAUAUACCAGAAUAGAAUACACCGGAGAAGAUUAUGAAUACACCAGAAUUAGGGGUGAUGGAAAAUAUCAAAUAUCAGGAUAUUAAGUUUUGUUAUACUGUAUCGAUUCUCCAAAACGAUAUUGAUUUCUAACUAAUAAAUUACAUGCAAAGAUGAACUCAGUCAGUACUUGAUUUCAUUGGCAAAGAUAUGCGCCCUCUCAAAGUAGUGCUAUGAUGUUGGAUGUUCAUAAUUAGAUGUUACAGGGACUGUUAUGAAUGAAAAUCACACUGUUCUGAUUGCAUAAAAACGUAAACAUU